rnacentral:rRNA from 1 species
AACGAACGCUGGCGGCGCGUCUUAAGCAUGCAAGUCGGACGGCAAGGGUUGUGCUUGCACAACUCCUAGAGUGGCGGACUGGUGAGUAACGCGUGGGUGACCUGCCCUCGAGAUGGGGAUAGCCAUUAGAAAUAGUGGAUAAUACCGAAUACGCUCAUGACCCUGUGGGGAUAUGAGGAAAACAGGCUACGGCCUGGCUCGAGGAUGGGCCCGCGUCCCAUUAGCUAGUUGGUGAGGUAACGGCCCACCAAGGCGACGAUGGGUAUCCGGCCUGAGAGGGUGUACGGACACAUUGGGACUGAGAUACGGCCCAAACUCCUACGGGAGGCAGCAGCUAAGAAUAUUCCGCAAUGGACGAAAGUCUGACGGAGCGACGCCGCGUGGAUGAAGAAGGCCUUCGGGUUGUAAAGCUCUGUCUGGAGGGACGAAGGAAGUGACGGUACCUCCGGAGGAAGCCACGGCUAACUACGUG